rnacentral:rRNA from 1 species
ACGCUCGACACCUACGGGAGGCUGCAGUUGGGAAUAUUGGACAAUGGAGGAAACUCUGAUCCAGUGACGCCGCGUGAAGGAAGAAGGUCUUCGGAUUGUAAACUUAUUUUGUCAGGGAAGAAAAAAUGACUGUACCUGAAGAAAAAGCACCGGCUAACUACGUGCCAACAGCCGCGGUAAUCUGAGCGGGCUGGCAAGGC